AGACACAAUCAUUGAGCGGGGCUUUAUGGAAGGUUAGAAUGAGAUGGGUUUUUUAGUACGACAGUUACGAAUCCAGAACCAAUGGGGAAGCAAGGUCAUGUCCUUCACCCAGAGCAGCAUUGAGUGGUGAGUGUGAAGGAGUGUGCCAGGUCACAGGGAUUCCCUGAUACUUUCCAUUUCUUUGGAACAAUACUUGAUAAACACAGACAGGUUGGUAAUGCUGUCCCACCUCCAUUGGCCAAAGCCAUUGGUUUAGAAAUAAAGAGGUCAGUAGAGAAGAAAGAUGAAUAACACUAGGAACUAUCCAUGCAUCACUGCUUUUUACUAAAAGGAAAUUAAUGUUAUAGAAUUAUCACUAAUUUAUCUAAAACCUUAAUCAUGAUUAACAGUAUAAUUUUGUCAAGUAUAAUAAGUCAGUUUGACUUGUCUACUACAACUGAA